AGUGAACGCUGGCGGUAGGCCUAACACAUGCAAGUCGAACGGCAGCACAGUAAGAGCUUGCUCUUACGGGUGGCGAGUGGCGGACGGGUGAGGAAUACAUCGGAAUCUACUUUUUCGUGGGGGAUAACGUAGGGAAACUUACGCUAAUACCGCAUACGACCUACGGGUGAAAGCAGGGGAUCUUCGGACCUUGCGCAAUUGAAUGAGCCGAUGUCGGAUUAGCUAGUUGGCGGGGUAAAGGCCCACCAAGGCGACGAUCCGUAGCUGGUCUGAGAGGAUGAUCAGCCACACUGGAACGGAGACACGGUCCAGACUCCUACGGGAGGCAGCAGUGGGGAAUAUUGGACAAUGGGCGCAAGCCUGAUCCAGCCAUACCGCGUGGGUGAAGAAGGCCUUCGGGUUGUAAAGCCCUUUUGUUGGGAAAGAAAAGCAGCAGGUUAAUACCCCGCUGUUCUGACGGUACCCAAAGAAUAAGCACCGGCUAACUUCGUG
rnacentral:rRNA from 1 species